AGUGAACGCUGGCGGCGUGCUUAACACAUGCAAGUCGAACGAGAACGGAUUAUAGCUUGCUAUAAUUGUCAGCUGAGUGGCGCACGGGUGAGUAAUAUAUAGGUAAUGUGCCCUAGAGAAGAGGAUAACAGAUGGAAACGUCUGCUAAGACUCUAUAUGCCUUUAAGACAAAAGUCUGCAAGGGAAAUAUUUAUAGCUCUAGGAUCAGCCUGUACAGUAUCAGCUAGUUGGUGAGGUAAUGGCUCACCAAGGCAAUGACGCUUAACUGGUUUGAGAGGAUGAUCAGUCACACUGGAACUGAGACACGGUCCAGACUCCUACGGGAGGCAGCAGUGGGGAAUAUUGCACAAUGGACGAAAGUCUGAUGCAGCAACGCCGCGUGGAGGAUGACACAUUUCGGUGCGUAAACUCCUUUUAUAUGGGAAGAUAAUGACGGUACCAUAUGAAUAAGCACCGGCUAACUCCGUGCCAGCAGCCGCGGUAAUACGGAGGGUGCAAGCGUUACUCGGAAUCACUGGGCGUAAAGAGCGUGUAGGCGGGUAUAUAAGUCAGAAGUGAAAUCCAAUAGCUUAACUAUUGAACUGCUUUUGAAACUGUAUACCUAGAAUGUGGGAGAGGUAGAUGGAAUUUCUGGUGUAGGGGUAAAAUCCGUAGAGAUCAGAAGGAAUACCGAUUGCGAAGGCGAUCUACUGGAACAUUAUUGACGCUGAGACGCGAAAGCGUGGGGAGCAAACAGGAUUAGAUACCCUGGUAGUCCACGCCCUAAACGAUGCACACUAGUUGUUGUGAGGCUAGACCUUGCAGUAAUGCAGUUAACACAUUAAGUGUGCCGCCUGGGGAGUACGGUCGCAAGAUUAAAACUCAAAGGAAUAGACGGGGACCCGCACAAGCGGUGGAGCAUGUGGGUUUAAUUCGACGAUACACGAAGAACCUUACCUGGACUUGACAUA
rnacentral:rRNA from 1 species